rnacentral:sRNA from 1 species
CGCCUCUUCCCGCAGGGUGUUGACUUAAAGGCCGGUCUUUCGACCGGCCCUUUUUUUAUUUUUU